UACGAAGGGGGCUAGCGUUGCUCGGAUUUACUGGGCGUAAAGCGCACGUAGGCGGGUCGUUAAGUCGGGGGUGAAAUCCUGGAGCUCAACUCCAGAACUGCCUCCGAGACUGGCGAUCUUGAGUUCGGGAGAGGUGAGUGGAAUUGCGAGUGUAGAGGUGAAAUGCGUAGAUAUUCGCAAGAACACCAGUGGCGAAGGCGGCUCACUGGCCCGAUACUGACGCUGAGGUGCGAAAGCGUGGGGAGCAAACAGG
rnacentral:rRNA from 1 species